UACGUAGGGGGCUAGCGUUGUCCGGAUUUAUUGGGCGUAAAGAGCGUGUAGGCUGCCAGUUAGGUCCGUUGUGAAAACUCGAGGCUCAACCUCGAGACGCCGAUGGAAACCCCCUGACUAGAGUCCGGAAGAGGAGAGUGGAAUUCCUGGUGUAGCGGUGAAAUGCGCAGAUAUCAGGAAGAACACCCGUGGCUAAGGCGGCUCUCUAGUACGGUACUGACGCUGAGACGCGAAAGCGUGGGGAGCGAACAGG
rnacentral:rRNA from 1 species